AUACGGAGGAUGCAAGCGUUAUCCGGAUUUAUUGGGUUUAAAGGGUGCGCAGGCGGAAAAUUAAGUCAGUGGUGAAAUCCUACAGCUUAACUGUAGAACUGCCAUUGAUACUGAUUUUCUUGAGUGCAGUUGAGGUAGGCGGAAUGUGUAAUGUAGCGGUGAAAUGCUUAGAUAUUACACAGAACACCGAUUGCGUAGGCAGCUUACUAAACUAUAACUGACGCUGAGGCACGAAAGCGUGGGGAGCGAACAGGAUUAGAAACCCCUGUAGUCC
rnacentral:rRNA from 1 species